rnacentral:rRNA from 1 species
GACGAACGCUGGCGGCGUGCCUAAUACAUGCAAGUAGAACGCUGAAGAGAGGAGCUUGCUCUUCUUGGAUGAGUUGCGAACGGGUGAGUAACGCGUAGGUAACCUGCCUUGUAGCGGGGGAUAACUAUUGGAAACGAUAGCUAAUACCGCAUAACAAUGGAUGACCCAUGUCAUUUAUUUGAAAGGGGCAAAUGCUCCACUACAAGAUGGACCUGCGUUGUAUUAGCUAGUAGGUGAGGUAACGGCUCACCUAGGCGACGAUACAUAGCCGACCUGAGAGGGUGAUCGGCCACACUGGGACUGAGACACGGCCCAGACUCCUACGGGAGGCAGCAGUAGGGAAUCUUCGGCAAUGGGGGCAACCCUGACCGAGCAACGCCGCGUGAAUGAAGAAGGUUUUCGGAUCGUAAAGCUCUGUUGUAAGUCAAGAACGAGUGUGAGAGUGGAAAGUUCACACUGUGACGGUAGCUUACCAGAAAGGGACGGCUAACUACGUG